rnacentral:rRNA from 1 species
UACAGAGAGUGCAAGCGUUAAUCGGAAUCACUGGGCGUAAAGCGCGCGUAGGUGGAUAUUUAAGUCAGAUGUGAAAGCCCUGGGCUUAACCUAGGAACUGCAUCUGAUACUGGAUAACUAGAGUAUGGUAGAGGGAAGUGGAAUUUCCGGUGUAGCGGUGAAAUGCGUAGAUACCGGAAGGAACACCAGUGGCGAAGGCGACUUCCUGGACCAAUACUGACACUUAGGUGCGAAAGCGUGGGGAGCAAACAGG